CCUUAACAACACAGUGCUGGGGGAAACACUGCUUGUAAGUUGCUUUGGACAAAAGCGUCUUGUGAAUGCCCUAAAUAUAAACAAAAAAUAUGGGCUGGGUGUGCCUUAGCCUCCAUAUGGAUAGAAAUGAACAGAAAAUGCUAAAAUAGGGAAAAGUUUGUGUCUCACAGUCAACAAAAUAAGCACAAUUCUGUCAUAUUUCAUAGUGAAUAAUGUUAAGCCUAAAAUCUUCCUGUACCUUCAACAAAUUUAUACAGAAAAAAUGAUUAGUUAAUUAUUAGGAACGCAGGCUGGAACAGUGCUGUGUUUGUGUACUUUAGGCAGGGCAACCAGAACAGGAAGUACAAAAAUGGGUUUUUUGUACCAGGGUCACAUGGUUAAAGUCUGCCAUUUCAUACGAGCUGCAUUCGUAUCGACUCCGGCAUUACACAUAAUCUGCAGGGAAAUUACACAAGGGUUAUGUUUUUGAGACAAAAAUAGUGCUUCCUUGAAGAUACCUUACAAAAGAGCCCUUUGAUGGUGUAAAUCUGAAUGCCGAAAUGUCUUGGAUGUUAUACAAACGGUCAUGUGCCUUUAAAACCAGAGGAUUGAUAGGUGAUCGCAGAGACACAGACAGCUGGGAGAGUCGCAGACAGAGGAUCCAGGGUGUAUGUGUGUGUGUCUCGCUCGAGUUGGAGGAAAGAAGGACAGCAGAUAGAGGGAGAGAGAGGAGAGAGAGAGACCCAAUUAGAAGGAGCGUGAGGGGGGAAAUGGGGACACGGCCGCGUCACAGAGCAGAGAAAAAGGAAGCCAUGGUAGCAGGUUCCCGUUAACUUGAGCUCUGCAUGCGCUCAGUCUGCCUGUUUGGCAGCUAGCAAGUGGGAUACCAGAACUGGUUGAAGUCGUGUUUAUGUCAGCACAAAGAUCUGAAAAUUAAAUGCUGCGUCACACUUGGGAAGAGGAAUAGGUUGAUAAUGCAUGCGCAUGCCCAACUGUGUGUGUGUGUGUGUGUGUGUGUGUGUGUGUGUGUGUGUGUGUGUGUGUGUGUGUGUGUGUGUGUGUGUGUGUGUGUGUGUGUGUGUGUGUGUGACUUGGCGCCGGGCUGUUGGUGAGCUAUGUGUGAUCAGAAUGAGUGGUGUUUACAUGGGUAUCGGUUUGGAGCAGCAUUCUAAGAGCAGCAACAUGGUUGUUACAACAAGAUGAACAUCGAGUGUGCCUGUUUUUCAAAGGCAAGGGGAGGAAAGAGAGAGGGAGGCAGGCAGGAGAUAGAGCGAGUGAAGGGAGAGCAGGUCAGGGAGUGAGAGAGAAACAGAGAGGGAGAAAGAUUGUGGAUUAGUUGCUACGUCACUUUUUCACGUCGGGGAGUAAACAGAAGCUAACAUUACAGAAGCUCGGAGUCAUCGAGUUCCUCCACCUGAGAGUGGACGCAACGCUUUUUCCGACAUCCUCCUCCUCUUCAUCCUCCUUGUCGGUAGUUUUGCUCUCUUUGCCUGUCGCUAUUGUGUGUGUGUGUGUGUGUGUGUGUGUGUGUGUGUGUGUGUGUGUGUGUGUGUGUGUGUGUGUGUGUGUGUGUGUGUGUGUGUGUGUGUGCGCGCUGCCUCUGCUCUGCCUGUGAGCUGGAUUCAGGAGUUUCACAUGGAUGCAGUAGAAGAGUGUUGUUUAGAUGUGCUAGCUAGGUGCAUAUCGAGGAUGGGCACAAGUGCAGCAGAGGGGUUAACAUCAGAACAUUCUGGAGGGUUCUUGUUGUCGAGGCGAAGCAAAUUCAGGAAUGUUUUGCAGGGAAUCAUAGAGGUAACCGAGUGAUGCUGUUUUGCCACAAUCGAUGUAUUUGACGCAAAAGCUAUAUUUUAAAUCAAUUGCAGUCUAGUGCACUAUGCGCUCUGAUUGAAGGGAUAUUAUGAAAGGUGUAUGCUGGUCUUUAUGUGAUAUCGGAGUAUAAAUAGGUGCGAGGUAGAGGUAAACAUCACGGUAUUGUAGCAAAUGACGCCUUUUUUUCUUUGACAUUAAGCCUGGAGGAUUUGGACAUGUUGCUACGCAACAAUUAUACGGACAUUUAUAUAAUGCUGUUUUACCUGUGGUUCAUUCUUGAUUGAGUUCAAGGGCAGCCAAGAGGGUGCAGAGAAACACACAUUUGUACAUUUAUUCUACACCCAGCUUGCCAGUAUUUGAUCUGGAAACAAACGUAUUCUGAGUGUGUGGCUCGUGAUACUUGUGUCAUAAGGUUGUUUUUUUAUGUCUCACAGGGCCACCGGGACUGGCUGAAGCCCUUCCCAGGACACAUUUGUUUCUGCGUAGUUAGGAGAGACAGAGGCUGGUGACGCAGUCAUUUCUGGGCUGGACUUGUACCAGUACAUGGCUUGUAGCCCUAUCUCUGCCCUACCGCUCUCUCUCUUUGCCUCUUUGCCUCUCUGUCUGUCUGUCUCUCUCUCUCUCUCUCUCUCUCUCUCUCUCUCUCUCUCUCUCUCUCUCUCUCUCUCUCUCUCUCUCUCUCUCUCUCUCUCUCUCUUUGCCUCUUUGCCUCUCUGUCUCUCUCUCUCUCUCUCUCUCUCUCUCUCUCUCUCUCUCUCUCUCUCUCUCUCUCUCUCUCUCUCUCUCUCUCUCUCUUUGAAAAAGGAAGGACUAAAACAGGCAAAAUGUCAUGGCUCAUGAUCAGAGACAAAGAGGGAAGAAGGGAGAAGAGUUGUUUACCUUGCAUGCUUUGGUGACUCUGCACUGGCAACUCUCCAAUUCACUGUACUUCCUAAAGCUGCUGCCUCGCAAGCCUUUGAGCAAAAGCAGAAUUCUCAUUGGCUAGGAGGAUUUCAUUUGGCUGCAAAAGCAGUACUGGAUUGGCCAGGCCCAAGCUCACAUCCAGAAUGCAAUAAUCUGAUUGGUUGUACGUUUCAAGUAACAAUGGCUGCUUGGGUUAUUAAAGUAAAUGGACUGUAGUAAGGGUUAUUGAGCGCUGAGCUAGUGAAGUUAACAGACAAUGCGAACAGCGUCUAUUGUUCAACUGUUUUUGAUAAUAACGUCCUUCGAUGCAGACGACGGUACAGUCGCCAACAAAACUAACUUAAUUAAACUUCUAAUUAGUACUAAUAUUUACUUUAGCAGCGGCUUCCGCUGCGAAGGCCAAUCCCACAGCCUCAGAGCCAUCAGAGGUAGCAAGCACCUUAGAGCCAACCCAGCCUCGAGGACUCCUUCUCUGUGCUUCAAGAUGACACAGCAGAGGGGAACUACUCAGUUAGAAAAGUGCUUUUGGGAGAGACAUGCUGAAUAAAUACAUCAUGUUUUCAAACUCAAAAAUAAUUGUUUGAAUAAUCAUGAUUUCAAUAUUGACCAAAACAAUCGCGAUUAUGAUUUUUUCCAUAAUCGAGCAGCCCUAGUCCUUUCCUAGUCCAUGCCUACUUAAGUCAAGCGUUGCCUAACAAUGGUCUGCAUUGAGUGUUCAUCUUUUUAAGAUCUGGUUUUUCGAGUUGUUUCUUCAUUUCAAUUUGGUUUACGAAACUCUACCAACUUUCAGAGUGAGUGGUUAAAACAUAUUAGAGAAGUAAUACUCUAAUAAUAAAUGUAUUGAUACGUAUUAAAAUGAACAGAUUUGUAACAUGUUGGUGCUACAAUGCAUUCAAUGGAAAAAAACGUAAAAUUAUGUGAUAUUCUGAAUGUAGCUGUGUAAAAUAUUGGGGGGGUUCUGAGGUUAACUCUGUACAUGUUGAAAGCAUUGGACAGAGACGUAGACCAUGAUCAGACACUGCUUACUUACAGCCACAUAAACACAACCUCAUCACAGGCCACCAUCGGGUCACCAGGAAUUGACCAAGAUGUGGCUUUGGUCUACAUCAUCAUGUCAUGUCUCAGGGGACUUGGCGGUUCUCGAUUGUUAUAAUCAAAGUGACUCUGAUUCACAGAGUCAGUUGGUGGUAUUCUCACCAUGGAGAGAAAGUUCCCAGUUUACCUAGGAACACCCGGGGCAGCAAGCCCAUCAGUACAAUAAAAUGGAGGAAGAAAAGAGAAUGUUCAGGAAGGAGUAGUGUUAGCUAGCGUAGGCACCUUGCAGACACAAUACCUGGCUGCUUUGUAGUUGGGCGGAAGUAGCUCUGGAGGAAGAGUGGAUUAAAUGUUAACCGGAAGGUUGCUAAUUCGAUCCCCGGAGUGUUGAGUUGACACUGAGCAAGACGCCUCACCCUGACUACUCCUGGCAAGCUGGCCGCCGCACUGUGUUGUUGAACUCGGUGUGUGAAUGAAUGGUUCUCACUACUCACUACUCCACCUUCUAGCCGUUGAUGUUUUAGAUUUUUUCAAAUGCAGAUGUGUACCCAAAUAAAUAUAUUUAUAAAUAAACACGUAAACGGCGUGCACAAACUCGGCCAGCAGUAGUUAACUGUAAAAAAGUAAAAGGGUACAGGUUUCAAAUCCACCCAUUUUAGACGGACUACUAGAGAAUUACAUUACAAUCCUCUGCUUAAAAUGUCAUCCACUGGUGUGAUUGAGUUUCUUCUGUAGAAUAUCUCUUUACGAAACAGGAAACCAGGUGUAACUCCGCCCCUUGCUCCUGUUGGUUUCCUGCUUAGGCUUUGCCGUCUCCCCGCAGAAGCACUACUAUAACAUGGGAGGAUUUGUAUUUUCCCACCGUAUCUCUUUGACCCAGUAAGCCACGAGAGGCUGAGGAUCCUGGGCCUGUAUCACUGGAUGAUGGUAUUAAGUCUCUGGGGAGCUAGCACUUAGGUUGGAGUCUGAUGAUCUGUUUGUUUGCGUCACAGGUGGAACCGACCCUCAGAAAUACUCCCCUUGGAAGCUGGUUUCCGAUGGUGGCUUAGAGUGCGGUCCUCCAUCUAGCACCAUUUGAAAUCAGUGUUCUUGUGGUGGGAUGUGAACUUCUCCCACAGAUGCUGGAUGCGUGCCAGCAACACUGCAUCACACUUGGUGGGAGGGGAGGAAAACGGGAUUUCAUCACCCAGGAAGUGUCACCCACCCCUUACCAACGGGCCGGAGGGACAGUUAGCAGUGGCGCAGUUGCAGUCGCAGUGACUUAUGAUGUGUUCCAGAUGCCUCUUACACCACCCGCACGAGUUGCUCUUGUGGCGUAAUUUCCUGGCUUGUAACACUUAUAGCCUUCCUGUUUGUCUUUGUGAUUGCGUCAUGUCAUUGGCUAGUCAUUGUUAGCCACAUUAGCCUCUCUAGCAAACCAGCUAGAAGAAAAACACAACUUUACAUUGUAUUUCACGCACAGCAAGACCGUGCAAUGCAUAAAUUGAUGACCGGAAUAACGAAGAAAUGUAAUCAAGUGUGUAAGAGCAUUUAAAAUCGACAUUAAAAUGACCAAUGACCGUGGUACGAAUACAAAGAAAAUAAAUCCAAUUUUUGGACCAGCCAUUUUUGUUGUCGAGUUGUACGGUCAACCUCACUGAACUCUGUAUAGGCCUACUCUCAGAAUCAACCAAAACUUUUGGUCGGUCCCAGGUGAAAUGCCGCAAGAAAGCUGGGAGAUUACCCCAUUUGCAACUCGUUCGGCUGGUGUACGAGGCAUCUGGAACACACCAUCAGUUAGCGUGAGGCAGUUAGCCAUGACUUAGUUAGCCAUGGCACAGUAGCAGUGACUCAGUUAGCAGUCAUUCAGCUAGCCAUGGCACAGUAGCAGUGACUCAGUAGCAUUGACUCAGUAGCAGUGACUCAGUAGCAGUGACGCAUUGAGCAGUAACGCAGUUACCAUUGACGCAGUAGCAUUGACUCAGUAGCAGUGACGCAGUUAGCAUUGAGCAGUAGCAGUGAUACAGUAGCAGUGACGCAGUUACCAUUGACGCAGUAGCAUUGACUCAGUAGCAGUGAUGCAGUUAUCAUUGACCGGUAGCAGUGACUCAAUAGCAGUGACGCAGUUAACAUUGACGCAGUAGCAGUGACGCAGUUGGCAUUGACGCAGUAGCAGUGACGCAGUUGGCAUUGACACAGUAGCAGUGACACAGUUAGCAGUGCAAGCUUAAGGUCCUCUUUUCCAAGGUUGACUGAUUUCUUUCGGUGUUCAGAGUCUUCUUGUGUUUCUAGCACCAUUUGAAAUCGGUUACAAUGAAGGAUACCUCAUCGGGAGGGUGAGCUCCUCUGCGGCGGGCCCGUGGGCAGACUGGGGUUGGGCAGAAGGGUUUAAAAAGGGGCCUUAGUUCUAAGAUUACUAGUUCUCUUCAAUUGAACUAGCAGGUCUUUAAUGCAACUGAAUGUAUUGGGCUAAUGGCCAAGAAGCAUUCAUCUGAAAUCUUUUAUUUUUAAGCGUUAUAAAGGAAUGUAAUGUUUGGUAUUCAUACGUGAUGAAUGAAAAUUAAAUGCUGAAUGGAUGUAAAAAUUGUAAUCCAUUUGUUGACCGAUAUUAAAGACUCAGAAUCACUAACUACAUUUCAUACUCAAACAGAGAGUACAGUAACACAGAACGUGGACGGAAGUACUUUAAUCAUUUUUAUAAUUUCAAGCUCAUGUUCAUAUCAAAUGGUUGUCAAGGCACAAUGAAAUACAAUGCUAAUAAAUUAUGGAUAUUACUAAUGCAGUUGACCAUUUUGAUAGAUAUUUUUAAAUGGCGUCAAUAGAUUUAUUUCGCUUUUCACAUUUUGUCACAUUUAGAAUGUGGAAAAUCGAUAGCAAACGAUUGGAACACAAUGAUCAGAGGCUUCAGAUUUGAUCUGCACACAUAUUUAUACCUCAUUUCAAUUAUUUACAACCACAGAAUGUUAAUUCCAUGGCGCUACGGCCCCAGCAAAGCCUAUAAGUGCA